rnacentral:rRNA from 1 species
AUUGAACGCUGGCGGCAUGCUUUACACAUGCAAGUCGAACGGUAACAGGGUGCUUGCACCGCUGACGAGUGGCGAACGGGUGAGUAAUGCGUCGGAACGUGCCGAGUAGUGGGGGAUAACGCAGCGAAAGUUGUGCUAAUACCGCAUACGUACUGAGAGAGAAAGUGGGGGACCUUUGGGCCUCACGCUAUUCUAGCGGCCGACGUCUGAUUAGGUAGUAGGUGAGGUAAAGGCUCACCUAGGCGACGAUCAGUAGCGGGUCUGAGAGGAUGAUCCGCCACACUGGGACUGAGACACGGCCCAGACUCCUACGGGAGGCAGCAGUGGGGAAUUUUGGACAAUGGGCGAAAGCCUGAUCCAGCCAUGCCGCGUGUCUGAAGAAGGCCUUCGGGUUGUAAAGGACUUUUGUCGGGGAGGAAAUCCCCAGCGCUAAUACCGCUGGGGGAUGACAAUACCUGAAGAAUAAGCACCGGCUAACUACGUGCCAGCAGCCGCCGUAAGAC